AGUGAACGCUGGCGGUAUGCCUAACACAUGCAAGUCGAACGGCAGCACAGUAAGAGCUUGCUCUUACGGGUGGCGAGUGGCGGACGGGUGAGGAAUACAUCGGAAUCUACUUUUUCGUGGGGGAUAACGUAGGGGAACUUACGCUAAUACCGCAUACGACCUACGGGUGAAAGCAGGGGAUCUUUGGACCUUGCGCGAUUGAAUGAGCCGAUGUCGGAUUAGCUAGUUGGCGGGGUAAAGGCCCACCAAGGCGACGCUCCGUAGCUGGUCUGAGAGGAUGAUCAGCCACACUGGAACUGAGACACGGUCCAGACUCCUACAGGAGGCAGCAGUGGGGAAUAUUGGACAAUGGGCGCAAGCCUGAUCCAGCCAUACCGCGUGGGUGAAGAAGGCCUUCGGGUUGUAAAGCCCUUUUGUUGGGAAAGAAAAGCAGCAGGUUAAUACCCCGCUGUUCUGACGGUACCCAAAGAAUAAGCACCGGCUAACUUCGUG
rnacentral:rRNA from 1 species